UACGGGGGGAGCAAGCGUUGUUCGGAUUUACUGGGCGUAAAGCUCACGUAGGCGGAUCGUUAAGUCGGGGGUGAAAUCCUGGAGCUCAACUCCAGAACUGCCUUCGAUACUGGCGAUCUCGAGUCCGGAAGAGGUGAGUGGAACUCCUAGUGUAGAGGUGGAAUUCGUAGAUAUUAGGAAGAACACCAGUGGCGAAGGCGGCUCACUGGUCCGGUACUGACGCUGAGGUGCGAAAGCGUGUGGAGCAAUCAGG
rnacentral:rRNA from 1 species